CGCACCAGACUCAUCCUGCCACUUCUACUCCUGGACCAAUUGCAUUUUGAGGCGCAUCUUUAUUGUUGAUAUAGCAUGUCUAGGCCUGGUGUUUAUUAUAUCUUCUCUUCUGAGGUUCAGAGAUACAUCCUCCCUGUCCGCCAGAUCACACCAGGGCAGCCUUACCCCAGCCACCCAGAAGAAGCAAUGAAAACACAGGACCCAGAGCAACCCCACGCUUUCACAGAGACUUCUUCAGCUUGUAACUCUUGGAUCUCUGGAAAAGCUGGGGCUCUUCAGCAGAGAGGUAAACACAUGUCUGGCCCAGCGGGUUGCAGGAAAAGUUUCCACUGGGAGAUGGAAUAGCUGUCCCACACCACGGACUGUCCCACACCGCAAGGGAAGCCAGACUACAGCGACAAGAUCCAUGAGCUGCCACAGAACCCGGUGCCCCCGCACAGACCUUCCGAGUGUAAAAGCAAUACAGCUGCAGCUUCCCUCGUGCCUUCCAAGUCUUGUGCAGAAUGUUUCUGUGGCCCACACUCUGAACUGUGCAGAGAAAGGAUAUGGGAAUCCAGUUCCCAUCUAAACUCACACAGCAGGGAAAAAUCAGGUCAUGUAAGACCUUAAGGUCAUGAAAAAAAAGAGGAAUGGAAAGUCGUUGAUGUUUUUAAAAGAUGAGUCUGGUAGGGAAUGGGGUAGAGCACAGCAGCAGUGGAGAAGGGACAGUUGGGAGUGUAUUGCAUGAGGCAGUGGUAGCCCUGCUUAGUGUCUCAGUUCUGGCUUUUUUAAUAGAAUACCAUAGCCUGGGCGGCUUAUAAACAACAGAAAUUUGUUUCUCAUAGUUCUGGAGUCUGAGAACUCCAAGAUCAAGGUGCUAGCAAGUUGUGUAUAUUUGGUUCUGGUGAGGACCUGCUUCUUGGUUCAUAGAUGGCUUUUUGCUGGGUCCUUACAUGGUGGAAUGAGUAAGAGAGCAAUCUGGGGUCUCUUUUAUAGAGGGGCACAAAUCCUAUCCCUUAAGACCCUAUCACCUCCCCAAAUCCCAUUUCCAAAUUCCAUCACACCGAGGAUUAGGUUUCAACAUACUAAUUUUGGGGAGACACCUUCAGUCUACAUAGCACCUUGGGUGAUAGGAGUAGGGAGAGAGCCAUAGUUUCAUGAGCUGAAUUUGGGGAGUUUGGGUGAGUGCGAAGUCAUCAGUGAAUCCCCGGGGUUCAGCUGGAGUGACUGGUUGAAUGGUUAUCAUUAACUAGUUGGGAAACAGUAAGGAAUGAUAAGGCUUGGAAGGUCAUACCCAAGGUAAAAAUGUAUUCAGCUGUAAAUAAAGACAAUCUAACAAAUAAGGGCUUGAAUAAGUCAGGAGUUUAUUGGUAUCAUACAACCAGAAGUUUUCCCAGUGUUUACGGUGGUUCAGCGAUAUCUCAUAAGGUCCAGGGCUUUUCUUUUUUCUCCAACCUGAGUAUAUAGGUCUUCAUCCUCAGAGUCGUUGCCUCAUUGUUGGGAGGUGGUUGCCACAUCUCUGUCCAUGUUCUGAGCAUGGAAAGACGGAAAAGGGCAAAAAACCAAACUGACAUUCCAUCAAGACCUUCCCUUUUAAAACAAUUUUCCAAAAAUCCCAAUUUUCCACUGGACAGAAUGGAGCCCCAUGACCACUAUAAUCAGCAAGUUGCUAGGGGAUAUGUGGAAAUAUGUGGACAAGGUUUGGGUUAACCUUACCUUGGAUUUUAAGUUUGAGUUGGCUGUGAGACAGCCAAGAGAACAUAUCAAGUAGGUAGUUGGAUAAAUGGCUCCAUGUCUUGGAAGGGAGUGUCGUAUCUUUGCCUACAUGGCUCACCCAGAUGGACUGAAAUGUAAAAUGGUAAGUUCUGGCAGGAGUGCUGUUAUCUAACCCCACAAAGCAUGUUCCUGUGUGCAUGGGUGUGUUUACGAAUGGAGAGCAGGGCUUAAACAUGAUUGAUGAUAUAACAACAUCUGUGUCUGCAUAGUCUAAUAUUACCUAUUAGAUUCCUCAUUUGGUUCCCUUACUUUGGAGACCUUCCCUUUUCCGCUAGUCAUCCUACCUACGGUAUUUGUGGAAUUUGCACAGGGGACUCUAAUAGCAGCGCACAGAUAUGGGCUUGCUCCUCACAGCUUUACUAGAUGCUGUGGAGGGAUUCAGCACCCUGCCCCAUUAAUCUCAGGGGAAAAUUCAGACUUGAUAAUUGAUAUCACUGCCUAACUUUGUUCAACCACAAGGCUGAUCAUGAGACAUUUUAAGGAAAUUUUGUCGAAAGUACUUAAAUUCAAGAUUCUGGCUCCACAUAGGAAUUUCCACAUCAAAUAUAAUAAUAACCAGAACUCUAUUCCUACUAAAGACUGUGUAGUAGUUCACUGAUGGUCACUGCCUUGACAUUCUCUAUGCUUGCAGAAUAUUGGACAGAGGAAAUGAGCAAAGUUGAUGUGGUUUAAUUUUAGAGAGAAACUCAAUGAUCGGGGUCAUGUGCUGGCAUUGUUUACCAAAGUAGACUGUAACGUGUCCUUUAUAGGGACUGAGGGGUCAAGCAGAUGUCUUGACUGUAUUAAACCAGCAUUUCUUCAAGUGUCAGUUAAGUGAUAUUACAAUGUAUUAGAGCAAAAAUGUUUGUGAUUAAAUAUUUUGGAAAAUGUUGACUUGAACAAAUUAAAUCCGCUUACUUCUGACUUCUAAGAUCCAUUAAGUGUCAGUGCUCAUAGCAAUUAUUUAAUAGGAGGACGUGUUGUACAAUGUUUCCCAAACUUGAUUAACUGUGGAACCCAGUUGACACAAAGCACCUUAACUGGACUAUUGUUCUAAAGAAUAUAAUUUGGCAAACACUGAUUUAGAAUAAUCACUGCCUGACUGACAGGCUGUGAGCUGAAUGAUUUUUUUUCUGGUUUCUUUGUGUGAUUCCAGGUGAAAAUCCUUCAGUCAUUGGUCAUGAUUAAACUUUCACUAUUUCAUGACCUAUUGUAGGUUGGAGAUGAAUUCACUUAAGAUGAGAUAUAAACCAUUUAGGUGUAACUACAGGGGGAAAAAUGUAUUCCCAGCCGAGGGCAAAUAAACCUAUGAAACAGAAAUCAGUCAAAGGGAAAAAUAAGCAGGAGAAACCCAUUUAUUCCUUACAAGACACACAAACCACUCCGCCCCUUGUAAUCCCCUAUUCACAUGGAGAUGCACUACUUCUCUCUACCCCUUGUAAACACCUAUUGAUAUGGACAUGGACUAUGGCCUGGAGGGAGAUUCUGGAAGCAUUGCAAUUUUACUCACACUAGGUAAGUGAGAAAACUGUCACGCAAUGGUGAUAUCUUUGGAGUUGGAGUCAUAAAAGAUAAAAGGUAUGACAUUUCUGCCACUAAUUUGCUGUGUCAUCUUAGGGAAGUUACAUAAUCUGAGUCCCAGGAUCCUGACCUAUAAAAUGUGAAUAAUAAUACUAUGUAUCUAAGAACUAUGAUGAUUAAAUUAUUAUAUGUAUGACAUGCACGUGUGUGUGUGACAAUAAAUUUUAAUAACUACUAUAGUUGUAAGGAAACAAAUUUUCGGUUUUCAAAAAAGUUAAAAGAAUGUGAAUAUUUUAUUUAGGUUGGUUUUACUAUAACAUUGGUUUUUGUUUUAUAAAAUAAUUUUAUAAAAGAGCCCAUCAAGAUGGUAGAUAGAAAAUACAUACUAAGGUAGUAUAUAUACACGUCAUAAAAA